GUAAAGUUUUAUCCUAGCUUGUUCUUUCAUUUUUAGGUUAAUGGUACAUGUAAAUUUUAAUGUUACAACAUAUUUUGUUAAAACUAAAGGUUAACAAAUGGUCUAAAAGUAGAGGUUUCUUUAAGAAAUAAAUUCUCAGUACCUAGUGCUAAUCAAUAAAUAUACGUUAGAAUUGGUAAUCCUAAUUAUAUACCUGGUUAAAAUUUGUGCCAGCAGCCGCGGUUAGACUGAGAGGUAAAAUGAAAGAAAUUUGGUUAAAAACAGUUAUAUUUAUUAAUUUUUUUUCUUUUAAAGGACUAUAUUAAUAAAGGGUGAAAUCAGUUUUUUAAUAAAUAGUAAAAUAAAAGUCUUAAUUUUAAUUGAAG
rnacentral:rRNA from 1 species